rnacentral:rRNA from 1 species
CCAGCAGCUGCGGUAAUUCCAGCUCCAAUAGCGUAUAUUAAAGUUGUUGCAGUUAAAAAGCUCGUAGUUGGAUUUCUGGUCUCUGUGUGAUGGUCCGCCGUGAGGUGAGCACUGUUGCUGGGGACCUUCUUCUUGAAGGGGUGUGGUAUUCUUAACUGAGUGCUGCAUUUAUUCAAGACCUUUACUUUGAAAAAAUUAGAGUGUUCAAAGCAGGCGUUUUGCUUGAAUACAUUAGCAUGGAAUAAUGGAAUAGGACUAGGGUUCUAUUUUGUUGGUUUCUAGGACUUUAGUAAUGAUUAAUAGGGAUAGUUGGGGGCAUUAGUAUUUAAUUGUCAGAGGUGAAAUUCUUGGAUUUAUGAAAGACUAACUUCUGCGAAAGCAUUUGCCAAGGAUGUUUUCAUUAAUCAAGAACGAAAGU